rnacentral:misc_RNA from 1 species
AAGGAGCACCAUUUUCCCCGCCGAAUGCGCGUGGGAACAUAAAGCGGGUUUCUGUAGUGGUUUCCUGCUGGGUGAAUAUGUUUGAUAAAUCCUGUCCGCGCUUCUUUGUGAAGGUGGUCAGGUAGUCGGCAAGACGUCGGACUGUCGAAGGAAUUGGAACGCUGGCACACUGUUGGGUCCUGAGGCAACACAUUGUGUUGUCGCCCUGCUUGGUGGUGGGGUGUGGACUUUGACUUCUGAAUAGUGGUUGCGAGCAUCUAAACAAGCCUUGCUCGAUUUUUCGGGUGGGGCUGGUUUUUGCAAUUUUAUUAGCUAAAUUCUUAAGGGCGCAUGGUGAAUGCCUUGGCACUAGAAGCCGAUGAAGGACGUGGGAGGCU